rnacentral:ncRNA from 1 species
AAGUGCGGCAGCAGCCAGGGUGUUGGCGCCUUUGCAGGUGAACCAACCCAGGGAACCGGGAAAGCCCGGACUGUGCCCGCAACUGUGAGUCGCCUUUGGCGGCGAGUCAGGAGACCUGCCCAGGCUGAUAAACCAAA